UUUCCAUUUGAUUUGGCUAUGUACUCUGUGAUUUCACACCCCUUUUUUACAUAAAAGUUGGUAUAUGUUGUGUAUAAUUUUGACACCUUCUAAGUUUAUAUUUUAAAGAUCUUUUCAUAUGAGUAUAGAGAGAGUUUCUGAUUUUUUAUAACUGCAUUUUAUUCCAUACUGUGAGUUUAUUAUUUAAACCAGUUCCCUUUUUAUGGACCUCUAGGUUGUUCUCUUUUUUGUAUUGUAUACGAUGUUAUAAUUGAUAACCUUGUACGUAUGUAAUUUUUCACCUAAUUUUCAUGAGUAUAUAUAUUUAUAGUUUUAAUCGCUAUUGACAAAUUGCUUUCUGUUGAAGUUUUUACAUUCCCACUAGCAAGGUAUGAGAGACAUGUAUUUUUACAGCUUGGCCAAUAGUUAGGUAUUUUCACAUGUUUGCAUUUUUUUGCCAAUCUGAUAGGUGAAAAUUUAUACACACACACACAAACACACACACACACAAGUUGAGUAUCUCUUAUCUAAGAUGCUUGAAACCAGAAGUGUUUCAGAUUUUGGAUUUUUUUAGAUUUUUGAAUAUUUGCAUUAUACUUACUGUUUGAGUACCUCUAAUUCGAAAAUCCACAAUGCUUCAAUGAGCAUUUCCUUUGAACAUCAUGUUGGUGCUCAAAAAAUUGUGGAUUUUGGAACUUUUCAAAUUAGAGAUACUCAAUCUGUAUGUAUAUCUCUUCUCUCCUUUUUUUUUUUACAGGUGGAAUUUUACCCGAUGUGAACUGUUAUGUACCUAUUUUCAGUUAACACUGUUUUAAAACCUUUUCUACAUUACCACAUUUACUUCACUCUUUCUCACAGCUGCUAACAAUUCCAUUGUGAACUACCCACAAAACUCAGCCAUGUGUACAAAAAGUAUGUUCAGUGCAACAUCAUUUAUGGUAGCAAAAGACUGAAACAACCUAAUGCACAUUAAAUAAAGAACUGGUCAAACAAGUAUCUGUCAGAAUUGUACCUUACAACUAAAUUUUUAUUGCGAUUUCAGUUUUAAAAAUCUGAUUUGUGAUUUGUUCCAGUUCCUAUGUUCCAAAAAUAGACUCAGAUUGAAAUUUUAAAUGUUUCCAGUAAGCAUUGCAUUAGAGUUUCCCAUUUGAUCUUGCUUGUUUUGAUCAAGAGAAUUUUUAGUUGUUUCUGUCUAGAUGCAUUUUUAUUUUUUGUUGUUGUUGUUGUUGUUUUGGGGGGUUUUUUGGGGAGUAGUUUUUUUCUAGAUGCAUUUUUUAAAGCUUACUGUAUUUUAGUGAAAAUGUAUUCGUUUUUCUCUGAUUUUGCUAAAUAAUAAUGAGGCUUUUUUUUUAAUUUCUGAAUUGGGUAGAUGCUACCACUUUUUGGGUAUUUUCUAUUUAAAUGUAAACCUCAAGUAGGCUAGAUUCCACACCUUUAAAAAACAUUUAUUUUAAAUCUCAGAUUGGCUUUAACAAUGUCCUAAGUUGAAAUUUUAGGUCCUAACUUAGUUGCAAGUCAUCUUAGUUGUGAGUGCCCUCUUGUACUUCAUUAGGAUAAAGAUAAACGAACCCCUUGAUGAGAGGUGGCCCUGCCUUCCUUUAGUGGCUCUUUGGGACUGUAGGGCUGCUUUGGUAGUUACUUUUUGUCUGUGAUGAAGGGUGUAUUUGGGCUGGCAUCUGGCCAGUUCUCAUAUUUUUAUUUAUAGCAAAAUGCAGAACAUAGUUUCAAUUUCUAAAUAUAAACUGUUUUUUAGAAUUUCAUCCUGUGAGAUACAGUGCCAUAGUGUUGGGAGAAGUAUGUUCCAAAUUCAGAAGUACUUCUGUAGCAUCAAAUUGAUUUCAGUGACUCAGCAUUUCAACAAGUAUUUACCGAGCACCUAUUAUGUGCGCAGGCCCUUUCCUGGGUGCUGGAUAUCUAAUGUUGAAUAAGUUAGACAUUCUCCAAGUAUUACUGAAAAGUUGAAAUUCUGUUUUUAAGACCUUCUAUGAUUAAUUCUUCACAUGAUGUUCAGUUUUGUGUGGCCUGGGGUAUAACUGAAAGUUUCAUAAGAUCACUACGUCCUAUUUCCAUAUAGAUCAAAUAAAAGACUCUUGUCCAUCAUAAAUCUGAGCCACUGUUUAAUUGGACAUCCCAUUUUUUGCUUUAAUCAAAACUAGUUCUUUAGCUAUGAUUUAUCGUUUAUCUUAGUUCUUUCUCCUCCCUUCCAUUACCAAGAAAAUUGACUCUCUUUUUAUCAGCUUUUUUUUUUUUUAAGACAGAAAUGUUUUUAUGACUUCAUGUGCUUGUAUAUAUAUGAGACUAGGUAGAACUCUACAAAGCUGCGUCGGAACAGUGGAGAUUGGCUGGGUUCUCUCGUUAGCUAAGUGCCUCACUCUUGCUUUCCACCCUUAGAGAAUAUACAGAACAUACUUAUGCCUUAGCAAAAUUAAAAAUUACAAGUUAUAAACUCUUGGGGUUUAUCUCAAGUAAUCAAAAUCAGGGAUGUUAAUCCUGAAGACACCAAGGACUUACUGCUGUGUAAUAUUUCUACCAGUUAGGCCUUCAAUCAUUAUGAUGCCUAACAUCUCCUCAUGGGAUGACUUUAGACAUCUCGGAGCAAACUUACAAUUCCAGGUCUAAGGUGAGGAAAUGAAAAAGGAACUUCUUAAUUUUAUACAACUCACAGCUUGCAGGCCUGGGGUUAGGAUUUCUCAGUCCUUAAGCAGUACCGUCUUUAACAGACAAGCCCACAGGAGAACUUUGGCAUUGGUUCACCUCUUUCUCUGACAUAACCUGUGAACACCAGGCUCUGCUAGCAGGAGUGUAGCUGCCACAUCUUCUCCUCUUCUAGUGAUCAAAUUUCCGCAAUUAUUAUGUAAAGUCUAGAGCCAAAGAAGUUUAGAAACCUUGAAUGAUCAGUGAAGAGCUGAUUGAGCUUCUGCCAUUGCAUCAGGCACACAAGUAAACAGUUCCAAGUUCCAGCAGCUCAGGGUGCUGCUGGUACCUGCCAGCUUAUUAUCACCCUAUCAUCCCAGCAGAAGAUUUCAAGUUUUGAAUCUCUGAAAGUACAUAGGCUUAAAUGUUUAGGGACUUCAACAUUAAAGGGAUCUUUUAAGGAGAGAUAGAAAGGCUGCUAUUCAGACAGCAGGCAGGAGAACAAAUUUCUAAGUACUUUUAUUUGGGCCGUGGUCUAUUCUCUGGGAGCUGGCAAUCCUAUGAUCAACUUUUGCCUUCUAUUUAUAAAUAAAAAAUGAAAACACCAAGGAAAGGGUGAAGCUCUAACCAAAGAAUAAUGUGAACUAAAAAUGAUUAAGGCAAUACCAGCAACUAUAUUCAUUGGCCAAAAAAAAAAAAAAAAAAAAACUGGUAAUACCCAUAUAAAAGGAAAAUAAACCAAGAGUAAAAGUGAUUAAAAUAGCAACAAAGUUAAAACAAAGUAAAAUAAACAAAAUAAGGAAACAAGGCAUACUGUUGGGCUGUGACAAAUAAAGAAAACUUAAAUAAGAUAAUAAAAAAUAAAUACAGUAAAAUGAAAUAAGGAUUUGAGCCAGGGACUUUAUACGAUAUGUAUAGUUUAAGCCGGGAGGUUGGGAAAAUAGGCAUAGGUGUGCUCUUGCACAGAUAUUACUAGCAGGCUAAAUGGUAAACCUCUUUAUGAGUGGUUUUCAAGCUGUCUUCUGAGAAGCCCUGGAGCUAGUUUCUUAUAGGCCCUCUAGGGCGUGGCUUGGGGGAAGAAUAGGUCUGGAGAUAGGCCAGACCAUGCUGCCACAGGCCAUUUGCUUUUGCUUCUGUUUCUGCCAGAGAAACUGUGCCUCCAGCUGCCUUAUCGGUGUCUACAGAGAAAAUUCAGAGAGGACUGUGAACUUGCAUAAGAAUAAAAUUAUAUUUUUAUUUUCACUAACCUCAAUAAUAUUUAGCAUUUCUUUCAUUUAUGAAUGUAGGCAGCAGAUGACUAUAAUAUUAACAGCAUCUGUGUCUUUCUUGCCAAUAAAAAUCAUUGAUUUUUUCAUAUCACAUUACAUUUGUUACAGAUAUCACUGCUUAGAAAUUAUGUUAGUAAUUAAACCUACCGCUAGCUAGUGUUAUUUCAUGCAUUAAUAAAGCAGCACAUAUGUUACCAUAUCCCAAAGAUUUCUUAAUAUCUUGAUAAUUGUAUUUCAAUAUAAUUGGUUUCUGUUGUAAGAAACUAAUUCUGAGAAGCCUUCAUCAGACUGCCAGAGGGUUCAAGACAAAAAAUUGUUAGGAACCCUGCUGUGAGAUCUUGUUUGAAAAAUAGGUUCUUUUGCUUAGACUUAUUUUUAUUUCUUCCCUUAGGUUUUUUGGGUUUUAAAUACUCUGGGUCUUUGUUUUCUCUUCUUACAAAGAAGACUUUCUUAGUUUAGACCUUACCAAGUAAGACAAGCAUAUAAUUGAUGGGUUUUCUGUCUUCACAAUGAAAAUUUAGAUACAGCCAGUCUCCCAAGUUUCCCUACAGCACCGGAAAAAAGGUGUGGUGAGGAGUGAGAAGAUUUGGACAGGCCCUGAGAUGCUACCUGUCAGGAGACCAGCGCUGGCAGGGUGCUAGACAGGAGCAUUUCCGCUUUAUUUUGAUAUCACCAUCACCCAGUCCUUGGUGAGGAACUGGCCACAGACCUUUGGAGAAAGAACAAUUGCCAAAACAUACCCAUUGGGUCUUCCUGGUGUAUUGGCACUAGUUGGAAAAUUUUAGACCAGAUGACCUCUGAAGUCCUGCCAACUUCCGGAAUCUGAAAUUGCAACCUGGAUAGACUAAGUGAGUCCCUUGGAGCCAUGUGACAAGUCCAAGCUCCAGCUGUGGAUGAGGCCUGACUUCAAGUUCAGAAGCUCAUCAGCUAGCCCAGUGUAUCUCUUUGUGUCAGUUUUUUUUCCUAAGCAGUUUCAGUAAUAUACCAAAAGAUACAGACUCAAUGAACAUUUUGAAACCUCCUAACAGUGUGACAUAGAAUUAAUUAAACCUAGAAAAAAAUUAACAUAAAAAGAAAUUCAACAAUGAAAAUGUAUUAUCUUGUGGGGGAGGUACUAAAAAGACCCUGAAGGAGUCAGGAUGGGAAGAAAGAGGUGACUGGGGUCUUAGGACCAGUUUAGUCCCCACUUUGAUCUGUAGCUUUGAACUAGUUAGUGAACUCUCUGGACAUCAGCUUUCUAGAUGAGCAGAUCAUCUUGGAUGCCUCCCAAGGCACUUCCCAUAGCUAAAACAUAAUGUUUCUUAAUGUCACUGAUAAGAUUUUAUCACCAGAUGCCUCAGACUUUGAAAGCAUGUAGCUCUGGCUUUUUGUUUAGUUUCUCACGCAGAAUUUUAUUCACUUUAAAAUUGAAGUUCCAGCCGCCUUAACUAUGAAUAUCAAGAGAAAAACUAAUAGAUGUAAAAGUAAACAACAGAAAGGGUAGAAGAUCUCUUAUUCUCUUCUGGAUUUAGGUGACAGACUUCAUUUACUAUCUUGUUUGUGAAUAUAUUUAGUAAAUUUUGUGGUAUGAGAAGUUGGGUAUCCACUCUUAUUUAUCCUCUAGGUAACUAAUUUUUAUACAUAUGUACUUGCCUUUUUCCUGCAAGGCCCACAAACCACAUGUUUUUGAUGCCUUGUAUAUACAUGAGAUUUAAAAGGAGAAGGCUAAAGUAAAUCUGUUCUAAUAGCUACAGAACCAUUUGUAAAUUAAACCUUAAACUCCUAAAAUUUCACAUAAGAAUAUGUAUCCAAGUUCUUUUUUUUCUACAGUAUAAACCCCUUUUAUUGAAAAAUAUUUCUCCUGCCUAUUUUUAUAAUUGUAAAGUCAAAUUAAGGUACCAGGAAUUAUAGCUACAGGGCAAUGAGAAAGGCAUAACUAAAAUAUAGUUUUAUAUUUAUUAUAUAAACCCUACUUCAGUAGGGUUUUAAGUGUAACGCAGUUUGAUUUGAAAAUAAUUAAGAGAUCGUUUCAGAAACUGGUAUAAUAUUUAAGGGAGAGCUGAGUAGAUAAACAGAAGCUUCAAGGAGAGAUUUAUGGGAACAGAAGUUUCAGUUGAUUGCAUCAUGGUUUUUGAGGCCAAAGGCAAAUAAAUUCCUGAGUAUUUCCAGAUGCUGUGUGUCUAGGCAAGAGGACAUCUGAGGAGCUAGAAGUAUUUGAUGUGAAUUCUGUUUAGUGGUCUAGGCUGCUUUCAUUUUCAUGAUAGAUUUCCAGGUAUGUUUGUUUUGAACAGGCAGAUUUUACAUUUUGAGGUCUAUUCUGUUUUUUUAAUAGCAAUGCUGAUUUUAAGACAAAUAGUAUCACCAUUUUAUACCUAGUAAUAGGCAAAGCUGGGACUUAAAACUAGGUCUUCCAACACCAGAUCAUUACAGCACAUGAACAGUGUAUUCAUUAUGCACUGGCUGUUACAUAGUUCAGUGAUGGACACUACCAAGAGGUGAAACUCAAUCAUUAGUCUUCAUUGGUAAAAAUCUUGGCAGAGUUUUGAUAAGUCAAACACUGAAAUUAUGUGUUCAAGUGAGAACUUUGUGCAUCUCAUACGUAUAGAUUAGUAUAGUCCUCCAUUUGCUGAAUAAUAGCAGGUAAUAACAGACUUACACACUUACACAGUGCUUUCAGACUCCAGUUGGAAUGGACUACUGUUCUCUGAAUGUGCCUUCUACUUUCAUAUCUUGCCUAUGCUCUUCCCUCCCCACUGUCUCUUUCUAACAGAAUACAGCCUGUGUUUUAAGGCCUGUCCCAAAUUCUGCUACACUCAUAAACUUACCCUGAUUUUCACGGUUGAAUGUGAUCUCUCUGACCCAUCUAUAAAAUUUUGUUUUACCUAUUCAGGGGUGCUUACUUAUUUUGUUUUGUCUUCUGUCAAAAAUAUUUCUUUCUUUCUCUUUACCUGAGACACAGUAUAGUAUAGUAGACAAGAGUAUGGACUUGAGCCAGAGUGCCUGGAUUUGAAUGUCGAAUGUGCCAUCCAUUUCCUCCCUCAUAAAAUGAGUGUUAAAAUAGUGCCUGUGCUUUAGGGUAUUUAUGAGACUCCAAGAAAUUGAUAACGUUAUAAUGCCCUUAGAACAGUCUUGGGACAAAGAAGGUCAGUGCUCAAUAAAAUUUAGCUUUAAUGUUGACUAUACUAGAUUGUAACAUCGGGAGAAGCAAGGAGUAUUUAUUUCCCAUACUUCUCUCUUAUGGGAAAAUGUAUUUGAUUUCUGGUUUAGGUUUCCCUAACCAUCCGCACCACCCCUGCCCCAAGGGCAUCAAGGUGUAAGGGCCAUCAAGGCUCAGGAAUGUGGAGAAGUAGAUGCUUAGGAACACUAGUAGUUCAACACACAUUUAGAAAGGAUAUCACAUUUUGGGGGAAGCUUCCUGACCCUAAAAGACAGCAAAUCAAAUCUGUCAUACGUGUACCCGUAUUGCUAAGCUUACAGCCACAAACCAGAAGGGGGCAACAGAUCUGCUUACUAUCUGUGAAGAA